UGAGGAACAUGACCUUCGGCGGGGGAUAGCCGGCCCAACGGCCGGGUAAUACCGCGUACGACCACAUGGGGACAUCCCUGAGUGGUGAAAGCAGCAAUGCGCCGAUGGAGUGCCUCGCGGCCUAUCAGCUAGUUGGUGAGGUAACGGCUCACCAAGGCGACGACGGGUAGCUGGUCUGAGAGGGUGUCCCGGCCACACUGGGACUGAGAUACCGGCCCAGACUCCUACGGGAGCAG
rnacentral:rRNA from 1 species